rnacentral:lncRNA from 12 species
AAAUGUUCUUAGACGAAUAAACAGCACGGACCCUGGUACAUAAACGUUCGGACCAACGUCGUGGGUGCAGGCGGGAGGGCAGGCCGUGGGCUACCCCAGUGGUCAGAGCUGACAUUCUGGGGGAUGACGUCUGCAAACGGGACUGCGUGCCAGGGCCAAUCACCGGCUGCAUUAAACUGCUCUCCCGCUGGUCUUUAAAGGAGAUGCUGGACCCAGCUGACCCGGGGUUUCAGGGGCACACCCUUUGUGCGUCUAGGCUUGGUCGUCUUCAUCGGGACACUAGUACCACCAUGUCCCUGGCUCCGAGCGAUCAGGGCUCUGCGACAUAAUGCAGGAGGCCAAAGGUAGAGCUAGAGAGCCUGGGGCAGAUCCAGAGCCUCGCAUCAAACCUUCCGUCAAUAUGACACAUCUACACAGCAGGAUCUGUGCAUCUGGUAGUAAGACUGAAGCGAUCCGCCCCGACCGCGCUGGAGUCAUAACCAGAAAACCCGAGGGCCGAGGCCCAGCAGGUUGCAGCCCCCCUCCACGGGGUCCGCGUGUCUGAGCACAGAACCCGAGGCCCGCAGGGCCCCUGAACCUCUCCAGCAGGUGUGAGCCUCUGCGGGGACACCGUCCUGUUCCAGCUGCAGGGCCCCCCUUCUUCCCUCCGUGGGCCCCCGUCCUGCUCCGUCUGCAGGGACCCCGUCCUGUUCCCUCUGCGGGGAGCAUCCCCCCUCCCCCGUCCUUCCGCACGGGUCUACACUCGGGCCUGGAUGGGAGUUGUCUGAUGUCUUGGUCUUGUUUCUGCCAUCAGAGGACAACCCACUGAGGUUUGCGCCCCCAGUGCCCCUGCUUCCCUCCGCGGGCUCUUCCACUGAGGGGGAGUCCUCCUUUCCGCCUGUCCAUCUGUCUGUACUUCCAGGAGGACAGCACUGAGUGGACGACUCUGUGCAGGCCCCACGAGCGGCCUCGCCUGCGUGUUCCCACUGCUGCGCUUCUGUCCCGGACGUGUGCGCCCCCGAGGCCCCGACCCCGACCUCGGCCCCGACCCCCGACCCCACCCGGGUCUGUCCCCGCGGCCGCCCCUCGUGCACCCGCACCUGCCUUCCCUUCGGCUUCCUCU